CUUAUUCCCGCCGGCGACCGGCGCACGGGUGAGUAACACGUAUGAAACCUGCCCGUAGCAGGGGGAUAAGCGGAAGAAAUUCCGUCUAAUACCGCGUAACAACCCGAGGAGGCAUCUCCUCGGGUUUAAAGGAAGCGAUUCCGGCUACGGAUGGUCAUGCGUCGCAUUAGCUAGUUGGCGGGGUAACGGCCCACCAAGGCGACGAUGCGUAGGGGUUCUGAGAGGAAGGUCCCCCACACUGGUACUGAGACACGGACCAGACUCCUACGGAAGGCAGCAG
rnacentral:rRNA from 1 species